UUUUAGUUGUUGUGUUUGAUUUUUAACAUGCGGUGUUGUUGGUUUUGGUAGAUGAUGAUGAAGGUUUGGAUGAUGAUGAUGGUUAACAUGAAAAUGCAGUUUGAUGGUGGUGUUGUGAUUGAUGAAACUUGGUGGAGUGAGGGAGACAAGUGAUGACGUGGUUGUGUAGAAUAGUUGUGAGAAGUUUGGUUUUGUGUAGUAAUGGUGAAGGUUUU
rnacentral:lncRNA from 1 species